rnacentral:rRNA from 1 species
UACGUAGGUGGCAAGCGUUGUCCGGAAUUAUUGGGCGUAAAGGGCGCGUAGGCGGUCAGCACAAGUCAGUUGUGAAAUCUCCGGGCUUAACUCGGAAAGGUCAACUGAUACUGUGCGACUAGAGUGCAGAAGGGGCAACUGGAAUUCUCGGUGUAGCGGUGAAAUGCGUAGAGAUCGUAAGGAAGACCAGUGGCGAAGGCGAGUUUCUGGACAGUUACUGACGCUGAGGCACGAAGGCCAGGGGAGCAAACGGG